CCAGCAAAUUCAAAUCAAUAUCAUUCAAUAUGCAAAGUAUUUAUAGUGAAACAACAACAUUACAAGUAAGACAGUAUAAUAACAACGUCACUGAAAACAAAAAUAUUCGCUUUUACUACACUAAGAAACACAGUUAAGAACAGUUGAUUUGCAAGCUGAUGACAAUACUUGGUUACAACACUUGACCAUAGAGGUCUCCACUUGACUAUAAAAAUGCAAGCUCAAAAUGCUAACCUCACAAAUCUCCUCUCUACACGCUUCUCGUUUCGCGGCUUAACUCGUAAUUACAUUCUUACCAUGGAGACGACUUCAAUGGAAAGAUAAAUAAAAACAAAGUCUCACGCAUCAAUGACGAGAAUCGAGCGAAGGAGAAGGAGGAGGAAGCAGAGUCGAUCUCUUUGAUUCCAUUAUUGCUCCACCUAAUUGGAUUCCACCGCGCGAUCGCGGGCUGCAACGUCUAUAAACCCGCGGUCGACGAAACCAAUUUGGGCAUUCCUACGGAUACAUAGCCGGUGGAUCCGUCGUCGAUCUAUAGAUCACUCGCCGCUACCUGUGCCAGUGAUGGCUUGCCCAAAUUUUCGACCGUGCGAUCUUCGAUCGUGCAAAAGCCGCCUCCGGUAUUCGAGAUACGACCGCGGCUUCGGGGGAAACUCAAUUUUCGUGGGAUGAUGCACAGAUUGACGAAAUCAAAAGUUAUGAUUUGGCUGUUCGUUUUUAACUGAAAUAUCGUGUCUUGUACGUUUUUGAAGUGAGAUAAAUAAAUAUGUAUGUCUUUAAAGUGAAAUUAUUUUGCAAAUGGAUAUUAUGUUUUCAAAGUAAGGUUAGUUAGAAAAUAAAUAUGUAUAUUUUUGAAAAUGAGUUCACGAAUGAAAAAAUAUCAUAUAAUUACAAUCUCGUUUUCUUAUUUUUAUUGGCAGUAAUUUUGAAAAUACACCUUGUAUUUAUUUAUAUUUACUCACUUUCUUCCAAAGAAAUUACUUUGAUAUAUAAUUGAUCGCGCCUUUGAAUAAAUAAACUCGUUUUAUCGAGAUACAAAAGGAAAAAACGUGUUUCGUUUAAAAUUAAAUUCGCGAGUGUACAUACAGAAUCGAGUUGGAACGAGUGCGUGCGUAAACGUGGGUGGCGAUCUGUGCAGACCCAUUGUAAAUGCACUCGUCGCGUUCGUCGUUAAUUAAGAUCCAUCUCCGCAAGGUCUGGCGGAACCAGUCCUCGUUCAAUCUCGACGGCCAAUAAGAUGGAAAAGUCAACGAGAUUCCCUGUUUAUCGCGAAAUCUCCACUCGAUCGAUCAAUUAAUCUUCCAUAGAAAAUCAGAAUUAACCUAUCUUAACUUAACCUAGCUUAGCCUAAUAGUAAAUAAAUAUCGACAUGUUCGAGUAAUAGAAACAUCGAUUCCUUUUGAUAUUUUGGUAUAUAUCGAUACCGGAUCGAAAUUUGCAAAUUAGAAUCGAUAGAAUCGAUUUCUUUUCAUAUUUUUACCUUUGAUACAUUUCGAUACCAGAUCGAGAUUCGUAAACCAAUAUCGAUAAUCGUAUCACUAGUACUAGUCACAUCAAGAGUAAAUAGAAAGAAGAAAACAAUUUGUAGUGACACUGUUCAAAGAAGAAAAACACUAGAUAAGGAAAGUAGCAGCAAUGGUGGUGCUUCAUAGAACCCGUAAAAGUGAUUUGUUCUGCUAUUAACGAGACGCGGAUAGCAGGAACGUUAAUGGAAAAUUAUCGACAGUUACGAGACUCGAUACACCGUUACGACUGGUGAACGUCGUAAAUAACAGUCGGUUAUAUGCUUGAAAAUACCUUAAAGGCGUGCUAGUUUCUUGCACCGUAGCGACUUAACCUAUAACCGGAAUGCGUCGAACGAUUUGGAACUCGAAACAUCUUUAAAACGCAAAUUUUUUAAACAUAGAUAGAAGAAACUUUGAAAAUAUUUCGCAUCUUUUUUGAUGGAAAAGUAAAGUAUAGUGAAAAAUUGUAAAUUUUAUUCUACUUGAAGAAAUAUUUCAUGCUUUACUUGAAAGGAAGAUAAAGGGAUUAGAGACGCUUUAACCUCGUCAAACUCGAAGAAUGAAAUAUGCCAUUUUCGAAAAAAAGGAAAAAUAUUAUCGAGUCUCGACAAUCUCUUUUCUAUAAAAAAAAAAAAAUCAAAAGAAAAUGGAAAUAUCAAAGAUUACGAGUUAGUUAGAAAAACGUAAGGAGGUUUCAUCUUUUCUCGAAAAUAAAGAAUAGAAAAGAACAGAAAAUCAAAAGCUGUCCAAUUGGUAAAUAAGAAAGAAAGGAAAAAAUGAAAUAAGGGAUGAAGAGAGAAAGAGAAGGAAUAGUGGCAACGUCCCUGAAUGAGAAAGCGGUUCGAUGCACUUGCACGAUUCUUUCCUCUGCACCUCUACUCCGCCUUCCGUGCAGACGUGUUGCAACACGAGGAGAACCAGUGUACAAGAUAAUGCCAGGACGAUGUACACUAGAUGGAGAAGAAACGGAAGAUUGAACCGAUUGGAAAGCCCUCCCAAGUGCCAGGUUUUUUUAUAAUUAUUCUAUUAUUGAUUAGAUUGAUAUCGUAAAUGACAAUGUUCAAGAAUUCUAAAUAAAUAAAAUUUUCAUCUUUAUUGGCAGUAAUUUUGAAAAAGAAUUUUCUUUACCUUUACGUAUAGAAAGUUUCUCGAAUAUUAUUGUAUAAAAGAAAGUUGAGGAAUUUUUUUCCAAUUAUGCAAAACGAUAAAGAAACUUUGUGAAGAGGAAAAAGCACGUCGAUUAGACGAUUAUCAGCGAUUAUAAAGCGAUUUGAUCGAGCGGAUCAAGAAGAUUCGAAAUCGCUACGAGUCACUCCACUUAAAGCGAUCAAAAUGGUUGAUCGCGACGUCGCUAUCCGCAUUAUUAUCAAUAAGUUCGUCUCGAGAAGCAAUUCGAAUGAAGCUACGCCGACGUUUAUGUCGUGGACCCUCGUCAAUCAUUAUUUACCGACGGGCAACAGUGGUCGCUUGGUUGUCUUCGAUUCCUCUACGCCCUUGCCGGGCAAUCGUUUUAUUUUAAAACAAUAAUCUACUAUCUUCUACAUAGAAUAAUCCCUACUGAUAUUAACUACACUAUAUAUAAUAAUUGAUCUUCCUCUUAAAAUACUUAUAUAAUAAAAUGUAUGUACAUAUCACAUACAUAUAAAUUUAUGUAUAUUUCAAUAACUCAGAAAUUUUUAUUCUGAAUAUGAUUAUAUUUCAUUAAUAUAAAAAACUAUUGUAAAAUAUUUUUAUACAUAAAAGAUCAAUUAUUAUAUAAAAAAUAAUAUAUAUAUGUAUUAAUUCUAUCAAUUCUUUGCAAAAAUCAAAUAUAUUUCUUUUUCUCUUCUUUUCAGUGAUUUGACUUGUAAAAUUUAUCGAGCAAUUCGCAAAUGAACUAUCAAUCAUCAGUGAUUCAACUACGAUACAAAAAUUAUUGAAAAUAAUCUAAGAAUCUGGAGAGAAAGUUAAGUUACUUACCCAGCAACCGGUGUCAUUUUCAUCGCAAGCGCCCUGCUAAUGCAAAAUCCGGCGCCACCUGUCGCAAACCAGAAUUUUACCUUUUGCUGCAACAGAAAAACCAAUCUGGUCAUUCGAUAGCGAAAAAAAUUUCUAAUCUUCAAGUAUUCAAGGAUCGUGAUCGAUUGUUCACGAAACGCUCGAUCGAUCCCCGUCACGUACACCGAUCAUCGUCCAUGACUUUCCGGAUUGGGGCCACGAUCGAUUACAUCUUGACGCAUCGAUAAUCGAUAAUACGCUUCUACCUUCUUUGGGACAAAUUACGAUCGAGUUGUACGAUAGAUGAGGAAAGAUUAAGACAAGUGACAGAUGUACAUCGAUCGAGGGAAUCAUUGAUGAUACUCGAGAUAUUCCAUUGGAAAUAGUAUUUUUUAUUAUCCAUAUAUAUAUCAGUGAAUUAUGAAAUUAAGAGGAAUUAUUAUUAAUCAAGUUUCGAAGAGUCCUAAAAGAUCCAGAUAUUCGAUUAUGAUAAUAUUCUUUUUUUUAUGAAAUAUAUCAAUGAAUUAUGAAAUUGAAGAGAAUUUUUUCAUUUUAUUUAAAAAUUAUAUGAUAGAAAAAUUGCAAAUGACUUUUCCUGACAUCAAAUAUUGUAUUGUUUAUUUCACAAUCUAAAAAGACAAUCUUCCACUCCGGGUGGAAUGGAGAAAAUGAGGAUUUUGUGUUCGAGGAUACUUGAAUGAAAAGGUAAAAAGGAAAAAGGAGAAAGAUGUUUCCGAUCUUCCCAACGACCUGGAAAUUCGAUACGAGAAAAUCAUUUACUCGUGAAACGUAUGAUUACAAUUAAAUUCUUCCAAAAUGAUCAUUUAUAUCAAUGAAAUUUUACAUAAGGGAUUGAGAAUCAUAGUGAUAUAAAUAACGUGAUAAUUAUUUUGAGAAAUUCAUAUUUAGA